rnacentral:rRNA from 1 species
GAGUCUUCCGCCAUGGACGAAAGUCUGACGGAGCAACGCCGCGUGAGUGAAGAAGGCCUUCGGGUCGUAAAACUCUGUUGUUAGGGAAGAACAAGUGUCGGAGUAACCGCCGGCACCUUGACGGUACCUAACCAGAAAGCCACGGCUAACUACGUGCACGCCGCCGCGGUAAUACGUAUGUGGCAAACGGUUUCCGGAAUUAUUGGGCGUAAAGCGCGCGCAGGCGGUUUCGUAAGUCUGAUGUGAAAGCCCCCGGCUCAACCGGGGAGGGUCAUUGGAAACUGGGAAACUUGAGUGCAGAAGAGAAGGGCGGAAUUCCACGUGUAGCGGUGAAAUGCGUAGAGAUGUGGAGGGACACCAGUGGCGAAGGCGGCUCUUUGGUCUGUAACUGACGCUGAGGCGCGAAAGCGUGGGGAGCAAACAG